rnacentral:rRNA from 1 species
UACGUAGGGGGCAAGCGUUGUCCGGAUUUAUUGGGCGUAAAGAGCGUGUAGGCGGCCAUACAGGUCAGCUGUGAAAACUCGAGGCUCAACCUCGAGACGUCGGUUGAAACCGUUUGGCUAGAGUCCGGAAGAGGAGAGUGGAAUUCCUGGUGUAGCGGUGAAAUGCGCAGAUAUCAGGAAGAACACCCGUGGCGAAGGCGGUUCUCGUGGGACGGUACUGACGCUGAGACGCGAAAGCGUGGGGAGCGAACAGG